rnacentral:rRNA from 1 species
UACAGAGGGUGCUAGCGUUGUUCGGAAUCAUUGGGCGUAAAGGGCGUGUAGGCGGUUUGUUAAGUCAUGUGUGAAAUCCCUCGGCUCAACCGGGGAACGACGCAUGAAACUGGCAAGCUAGAGUACCAAAGAGGGGGGUGGAAUUCCCGGUGUAGCGGUGAAAUGCGUAGAUAUCGGGAGGAACGCCAAUGGUGAAAACAAGUAGCUGGGGAUGUGCCGACGCUGAGACACGAAAGCCAGGGGAGCGAACGGG